AGAGUUUGAUCCUGGCUCAGGAUGAACGCUGGCGGCGUGCCUAAUACAUGCAAGUCGAGCGAACGGACGAGAAGCUUGCUUCUCUGAUGUUAGCGGCGGACGGGUGAGUAACACGUGGAUAACCUACCUAUAAGACUGGGAUAACUUCGGGAAACCGGAGCUAAUACCGGAUAAUAUUUUGAACCGCAUGGUUCAAAAGUGAAAGACGGUCUUGCUGUCACUUAUAGAUGGAUCCGCGCUGCAUUAGCUAGUUGGUAAGGUAACGGCUUACCAAGGCAACGAUGCAUAGCCGACCUGAGAGGGUGAUCGGCCACACUGGAACUGAGACACGGUCCAGACUCCUACGGGAGGCAGCAGUAGGGAAUCUUCCGCAAUGGGCGAAAGCCUGACGGAGCAACGCCGCGUGAGUGAUGAAGGUCUUCGGAUCGUAAAACUCUGUUAUUAGGGAAGAACAUAUGUGUAAGUAACUGUGCACAUCUUGACGGUACCUAAUCAGAAAGCCACGGCUAACUACGUGCCAGCAGCCGCGGUAAUACGUAGGUGGCAAGCGUUAUCCGGAAUUAUUGGGCGUAAAGCGCGCGUAGGCGGUUUUUUAAGUCUGAUGUGAAAGCCCACGGCUCAACCGUGGAGGGUCAUUGGAAACUGGAAAACUUGAGUGCAGAAGAGGAAAGUGGAAUUCCAUGUGUAGCGGUGAAAUGCGCAGAGAUAUGGAGGAACACCAGUGGCGAAGGCGACUUUCUGGUCUGUAACUGACGCUGAUGUGCGAAAGCGUGGGGAUCAAACAGGAUUAGAUACCCUGGUAGUCCACGCCGUAAACGAUGAGUGCUAAGUGUUAGGGGGUUUCCGCCCCUUAGUGCUGCAGCUAACGCAUUAAGCACUCCGCCUGGGGAGUACGACCGCAAGGUUGAAACUCAAAGGAAUUGACGGGGACCCGCACAAGCGGUGGAGCAUGUGGUUUAAUUCGAAGCAACGCGAAGAACCUUACCAAAUCUUGACAUCCUUUGACAACUCUAGAGAUAGAGCUUUCCCCUUCGGGGGACAAAGUGACAGGUGGUGCAUGGUUGUCGUCAGCUCGUGUCGUGAGAUGUUGGGUUAAGUCCCGCAACGAGCGCAACCCUUAAGCUUAGUUGCCAUCAUUAAGUUGGGCACUCUAAGUUGACUGCCGGUGACAAACCGGAGGAAGGUGGGGAUGACGUCAAAUCAUCAUGCCCCUUAUGAUUUGGGCUACACACGUGCUACAAUGGACAAUACAAAGGGCAGCGAAACCGCGAGGUCAAGCAAAUCCCAUAAAGUUGUUCUCAGUUCGGAUUGUAGUCUGCAACUCGACUACAUGAAGCUGGAAUCGCUAGUAAUCGUAGAUCAGCAUGCUACGGUGAAUACGUUCCCGGGUCUUGUACACACCGC
rnacentral:rRNA from 1 species